AGAGUUUGAUCAUGGCUCAGGAUGAACGCUGGCGGCGUGGAUAAGGCAUGCAAGUCGUGCGAAUCAAGUUAGCGAUUAUAUCAAUGGCUUGGUUAGCGGCAAACGAGGUAGUAAUACAUAGGAACGAACCCCCGAGUCGGGAAUAAUCCAUCGAAAGGUGGACUAAUACCCGAUAGUCUCUCCGGAGUAAAGCCGUAAGGCGCUUGGGGCUCGGCCUGUGGGCUAUCAGCUAGUUGGUAGGGUAAUGGCCUACCAAGGCGAUGACGGCUAGGGGGGUGAGAGCCCGUUCCCCACCGAUGGGACUGAGACACGGCCCAUACACCUACGGGUGGCUGCAGUCGAGAAUCUUCCACAAUGGGCGAAAGCCUGAUGGAGCGACGCCGCGUGAUGGAUGAAGUCCUUCGGGACGUAAACAUCUUUUAUAGGGGAGGAAUCCGUCUUCGGACGGAGUGACGUUACCCUAAGAAUAAGGGGCUGCUAAUCACGUGCCAGCAGCAGCGGUAAUACGUGAGCCCCAAGCGUUAUCCGGAAUCACUGGGCGUAAAGAGUGUGUAGGCGGUUUGGUUAGUCUGUCGUUAAAGCCCCCGGCUUAACCGGGGAGAUGCGACAGAAACGGCCAGACUGGAGGAGGUGAGAGGUCUAUGGAACUCAUGGUGUAGGGGUGAAAUCCGUUGAUAUCAUGGGGAACACCAAAAGCGAAGGCAAUAGACUGGCACCUAACUGGCGCUGAGACACGAAAGCGUGGGGAUCAAACGGGAUUAGAUACCCUAGUAGUCC
rnacentral:rRNA from 1 species